ACGGGGCGCAGCAGGCGCGAAACCUUCACAAUGUGCGAAAGCAUGAUGAGGGAAUCCCAAGUGCUGGCUCGUAAGAAUCAGCUGUUUUUCUGUCUAAAAAACAGAGAGAGUAAGAGCUGGGUAAGACGGGUGCCAGCCGCCGCGGUAAUACCUGCAGCUCAAGUGGUGACCGCUAUUAUUGGGCCUAAAACGUCCGUAGCCGGUUUAUUAAAUGCCCGGGUAAAUCGUGUAGCUUAACUAUACGAAUUCCGGGUAGACUGAUAAGCUUGGGACCGGGAGAGGCUAGAGGUACUCCUAGGGUAGAGGUGAAAUUCUGUAAUCCUAGGGGGACCACCAGUGGCGAAGGCGUCUAGCUAGAACGGGUCUGACGGUAAGGGACGAAGCCCUGGGGCGCAAACCGGAUUAGAUACCCGGGUAGUCCAGGGUGUAAACGCUGCUCGCUUGAUGUUAGUUGGGCUCCGAGUCCAAUUAGUGUCGGAGAGAAGUUGUUAAGCGAGCUGCCUGGGAGUACGUCGCAAGGC
rnacentral:rRNA from 1 species